rnacentral:lncRNA from 1 species
UUCUACUAAUAUUUUUCAUUUCAAUCAUGGGAUGUCAACUCUGACCCUCCUUGAUCUAGGGUUCCUAUUAGAUCUUCGUUCAAUAGGUGAAAAUUUCUCAGCCACAUAUGAUGUCUUUAUUUUGGUUGACAACUUUGGCUUAUAUGUAAAUAAAAUGGUCAGCUAGUCAUCUUAUAUUGAGUUCCAUAGUAGCCGAAGUGGUCC